rnacentral:rRNA from 1 species
GAUCCUGGCUCAGGAUGAACGCUAGCUACAGGCUUAACACAUGCAAGUCGAGGGGCAGCAUGGUCUUAGCUUGCUAAGGCCGAUGGCGACCGGCGCACGGUGAGUAACACGUAUCCAACCUGCCGUCUACUCGUUGGACAGCCUUCUGAAAGGAAGAUUAAUACAAGAUGGCAUCAUGAGUUCCGCAUAAUUCACAUGAUUAAAGGUAUUCCGGUAGACGAUGGGGA